ACAAAGCGAAACGUCAACAGAAUUUUAACGAAAAGAUGAUAUCCGUAGAGCAAUUCGAGGGGGAGUCAACAGAAAAGGAAAUACAGCAGCAACAACAGCAACAACUGAUUAAUAUCGAUAUCUGUGCAGCUUCCAUACGACGCGGCACGCGCAUUCAGCAU
rnacentral:lncRNA from 13 species